AUCCGAGGCGUGAUCAUUGCUGGUUGAAAACUUUACCCAAUACCCCGCUAGGAUGACUUGAAAUAUAGUCAGCCAUGGCAAUUUUUGAUGGUCUCAUUUGAGC
rnacentral:snRNA from 1 species